UGAGGGGGAACACCAAGGUUUUGAUACAAAGUAUGGAAACAAGGGCUGAUGAGAUGGAAGCACUCCUGGAAGCCUGACAUGGACAUAACUGUGCCUGGGCAGAAGAGAGAAGGAGGAGAGAAGAACAAAGGCAAGGUCAAGAGCAACUACACUGAAAUUGGGAGAAAAAGCAAGUUAGAUAUAAGGAAGAGGACCUGGUAUGUAACAGCUAGGAUGGUGCCUGGUCCAUGGUGGACAGUAACUGGUCUGUUUUGAAUGCAUGAAUUUUCAUCGUAGUUUUUGUGAUUGUGUUUAUGAAGACACUGGAGCAACAAUGUUCUGCAAUUCUAGAGAUCUUGAUGUGGUGGCAGCCUUGUAUCCAGUCUUAUGUGAGCUUCCUGCAGGGCAACUUUGGCAUAUUCUCAGCAAACGUAGAGUUGUUGGAUUUCACAUAAGGAGACUGUUAUCAUUUGGUCCUUGACAACUUUCAUAAACAGUCACUCUUAGCUUAACAAGCAAAUGUGUAACAGUUAAAAUUGGAAGAAAAAUAAGGCCAAAAUGGCAGCUUACUACACAACUUGC
rnacentral:lncRNA from 1 species